rnacentral:tRNA from 1 species
GGCUCCGUAGUUCAACGGAUAGAAUAGAAGUUUCCUAAACUUUAGAUCGGGGUUCGAUUCCCCGCGGAGCUACCA